rnacentral:tRNA from 1 species
UGGCAUGUAGCUCAAUUGGCAGAGCACUAGAUUGUUAAUCUGGGGGAUGCAGGUUCGACCCCUGCGAUGUCAG